UGUAUCCAUCAGAUUCUAGACAGUGUCCAUCAUAUUCACCAACAUGACAUAGUGCACAGGGACCUGAAGUCACUGCAUCCAGCAGAUCCUGGAGGCGGUGCUUCACUGCCAUCAAAUGGGCGUGGUGCACCGAGACCUGAAGCCAGAGUAAUCUG